UCACAAACAUGAGUGCAGAGAUCUUAUUGAUUGGGAAGAUAAGCGGUAUAUUUCACGAUGUUGUUGUAUCGUGUUUGUUGGUGGAUCACAAACAUGAUGCUGGCUGCUAUGUUUGGAUAAUAAGCACGCUACGUAUUCAUCUACACUAUAUCACCUGCAAGAACCACACUCUUUUAAUUCUUUUAUCAAAUGAUCUUGUUCAUACUCCCUGCGUGUUGUUAUUGUCAAGUUCAAUGAUCGUUCACACUUCCAACAUGUAUUCUCUAGCAAUCAUUCUCCUUGGUGGCCCCAUUCAAGAUCCUCUAGUCUUUCUGUGGCAUGUCAAAAUCAUUUCUAGAGGAGUGUGAGAUAAAAUGUGUAUCCAGUUGUCUAUGUAUGCAUUAGAAGGACCUUGUAGCCUUAGUAAUUAUUCUCCUUGGCGGCCCCAUCUCAGAUCCUCGCACGUGGAGAUAAUUUCUAAAGGAGGGUGAGAUAAAACAUAUUUGCAUUUGUCAAUGUAUACAAUAAUAGGAUCUUGUGGCUUGCUAUUCAUAUGAAAACACGAGCUUGUUUGAUUCACUCCAAAGUCUCAUCAAGACAGUCACCAAGGAGUUUUGAAUCCAUAACAUGAGAAACUCAAAUAGUAACCAGUAUAGUGGCAUGUC
rnacentral:lncRNA from 1 species